AUAACAUUUGAGUAUUUAUAAAAGACACCUUGGGAAUACUAUAAGAAUGAAAAUAAUAUUACUUUUUGAUGUUAAAAAGAUCACAAAGCAAUAUUACUAUAAUCUGUGCAUAUAUACAUUAUAUGCUAUUUUCUAGCAACUAUUACAUUAGAAAGCUAGAAAGCAUUUAAGAAAACUUGUCUUUCAUAGAAAAUUACAUCCUUUAAAUGCCAAAAUGCAAGAUAAAAGAUUUCAAGUCAACUUUUUAUGUUUUAUCAGGCAAUUUUGCUUCAGCAUAUUUGGACAAUUUUUAAAUUGCUUUGUUUUGCUAUGAUUUUAAUCAUAUUAACAGUUUCAUAUGUCCUAUAAGCAAUAGGCACAUAAAAUCAUAAAAUAUUAUUAACAAAUGCCUUUACUCUGGCUUACUACAAAUCAAUAAGGAUAAAAACAUACAUACUAAGAAUUUAAGACUGCAUCAUUUGAACUGAAUGUAAAUAACAUGGUUAUGGACCAUUUAUGAACCACACUGAUCGAUCCCAGGACCUUAAAGGUCUUUGGGCAUAUUUCCCAAACCCAAUUUCUCCUCUUCUAAAUUAUCAUUGGUAUAAGGUGUGAUGACUUUCAGGCAUCAAUUAAUACAAAUUGAAAGCAGGCAAAGUAUUAAUUAAACUUGACACUCUGAUUAUUUAAACCUUCUAUUAAAGCUGAUUAAUCAUAGCAUGUUGAUAGCCUGCUCUUCAAUAAUGACAGAUGAUAUCAAGGCUUACUGACUUCCUUCAAGUCUACUAUUUCCAGCUCUUCAGAACAGAAGGAAUAAAUGAAGUGAGAAGACUGGAACAAGUAGACCAAUCUCAGACCCCCAAGGUCAAACUAAAGCAAUCCAUUUCUUGGCUCUCAUCAGCACAAGACAUGAUUUAUCCAUCUGAAAGCAGGAUUACAAACAUUAUACAUCUCAAUGAUAUGUUCUUCGCACCAUGUAACUUUUUGAACAAUGAUAGAUUGCACAGUUGCCAGAAAAGUAAUGUCACGAAGCAAAAACUCAUUAUAUUUUCAAAUAAAAACAUUUUUAUUUUUAAGAACAACUAUACACAUUAACAAUUAUUACUAUUGCACACUUCAUUUGGGGGGAAAAUAUCAUUUUAAAAUUCAGACAUUUCUUGGGACUAUAUAUCACCUUCAUGGUCCAAACUUUGGACAUUUGUGCUCCUCAAAAUAUGAUUCUUACUCUAAUAUUUAUUGUUUGUGAAGCCAGUUACCAUGCUAUAAAUAAUUAUUAAGUGGAAUAAUUUUAUAUUACUACAAAAUUUUAAUGAUAAUCACUGUGUUUUCACAUAAAAAUUUUUAACAACUCCUAAACAAUAACUUCUUCCAUAGAUCCAAAGCCACUUUUAGAGAAGAAAAUAUAAAUUAUAAGAAACACCAUGGAAACAUUUUUUAACACUACAAAUAUAAACAUAUAACAGGAAUUUUGCCCAAAAUUUUAGUAUUUUAUAAGCUUUAAAGAAUAAAUGAGACUUUAGAAAGAAGUCAUGCACUAUUUGGAUUCCAUUAUUCAGAUUCCAUUAAUUUCCCAGUUUAUCUCUCAUUUGCUAUGUUAAGGAACUAUUCUAUAAGUCAUAGUCAUAAGAGCAGUUCAGGAAUUAUUCCAUAGAGCAAUGUUAGUUAAUUUGAAAAAUUUCCACUGAAAUUAAAUUAUAUAUAAAGGGUAACUAAUUGUGAUCAUGAGACCUUAUUCUACAUUCUAUAUAUUUUAAAUCGCAUCACUAUUUUCACUGAUCUAAAUUAAUGAUCUCUUUUUCUAUCAGGUCACAAUUUUAGGGAAAUUAUACUGCCUAGGUGGAAGAGGACAGUAAAAAGUAUUGUAUCUCCAGCUAAUGAUUCAUUUCACCAGCUGCCAGAAUGCUGCCCAUUACAGCACACCUGGACACGCACCCGUGACUGAUUGGGAAGCAUAUUUAUCUUGGCACGUCACAAAGGAGAUGGAAUAAUAAUUAUUCUCCUUGUAACUAAAGGUAUUUGGGAGCUGUGUCUCCCUACAAAAUAAUACAAAUUACACAGCUGGAUGAAGUCUGCAUAAUUUUACCAUCUGUUCUCUAUAUUCAACCAUCAAUAUUUCCCAAAGCAGUCUGUUUUUUUUUUUUUAAUAUGAGUUUUAAAAUACUUGGAUUACCUGUCAACACUUCAGAGGAUUAUUAUUUUUAAAAUUAAUGCAUUGAAUAUUGGUUGAUAAAUACAUAUUAUAAAUUAAUACUUUCCAUUAGGUACUUUCCAUAGUACUUUUUACUAAGGGGAUUCUGCAGACUUCUCAUAUUCUGGUUCUGAGAAAAUAAAUGUGUUGUCUGAGUUUUACAAAGAAUCUUCCAUGCAAAAAUGGAAUAUCUGAGUACCUAACAUAAAAGAACAGAAAGAAAUCAGAGGUUUCUUUCUUCAGCUGAAGUCUUCACAGUUACUCAUCAUCUUAAGCUAAANNNNNNNNNNNNNNNNNNNNNNNNNNNNNNNNNCCUUUGUUUAAGAGCUUAAAAUAUAAUUUCAAAUUAAAAAUAUUCUAGGAAGAGUUAAUGAAAUUUGCAGAAUCAUAAUUUGCAAUAAAAGACAAUAUUUCAUCCAAUGUAACCAGUGAUAACAACCUUAGUCUUAUGCAACAAGUUUCAAUAUGGUAUGAAAUAAUUUUUUUGUAUUUCCUUCAAAAACACCAGAGAAAAAGAAUUGCUUAAGAUAUUGAAAACUAGAAAACAUUUUUAUGGGAGUAACAUUUUACCUUGUUCCAAAAGUAAGAAUAUAAAAAUAUUAGCAACAACCAACUGUGUGGAGAUUAAAAAUAACAGUCACUAAUCUACAUUAUUUAUACAUAUCAACUCAUUGUCAUAAUCCAAUAAGGCACGUGCUAUUAUUAUGAUUACUUUUUGAGAUGAGGAAAUCUCUUUGCAACAACAAUGAUGAUGAUGGGGGGUUGUGGAAGACGGCGGAGGAAUAAGAUGGGAAAACCACUUUCUCCCUCACAAAUUCCUCAAAAGAACAUUUCAA
rnacentral:lncRNA from 1 species